UACGUAGGGUGCAAGCGUUGUCCGGAAUUAUUGGGCGUAAAGAGCUCGUAGGCGGCCUGUUGCGUCCGCUGUGAAAGCCCGGGCUUAACCCCGGGUCGGCCAGUGGAUACGGCAGGCUAGAGGUAGGUAGGGGAGAAUGGAAUUCCCGGUGUGAGCGGUGAAAUGCGCAGAUAUCGGGAGGAACACCGGUGGCGAAGGCGGUUCUCUGGGCCUUACCUGACGCUGAGGAGCGAAGCGUGGGGAGCGAAACAGGAUGAGAGUACCC
rnacentral:rRNA from 1 species